GACGUAGGGUGCAAGCGUUGUCCGGAUUUAUUGGGCGUAAAGAGCUCGUAGGCGGCUUGUUGCGUCGACUGUGAAAACCCGCGGCUUAACCGCGGGCUUGCAGUUGAUACGGGCAGGCUAGAGUUCGGUAGGGGAGACUGGAAUUCCUGGUGUAGCGGUGAAAUGCGCAGAUAUCAGGAGGAACACCGAUGGCGAAGGCAGGUCUCUGGGACGGUACUGACGCUGAGGAGCGAAAGCGUGGGGAGCGAACAGG
rnacentral:rRNA from 1 species